UACGUAGGGGGCAAGCGUUGUCCGGAUUUAUUGGGCGUAAAGAGCGUGUAGGCGGCCUGAAAGGUCAGCUGUGAAAACUCGAGGCUCAACCUCGAGACGUCGGUUGAAACCAUCUGGCUAGAGUCCGGAAGAGGAGAGUGGAAUUCCCGGUGUAGCGGUGAAAUGCGCAGAUAUCGGGAAGAACACCCGUGGCGAAGGCGGCUCACUGGACCGUUGUUGACGCUGAGGUGCGAAAGCGUGGGGAGCAAACAGG
rnacentral:rRNA from 1 species